AUGACCUGUGGCUGGGGGUGAAAGGCCAAUCAAACCGGGAGAUAGCUGGUUCUCCCCGAAAGCUAUUUAGGUAGCGCCUCGUGAAUUCAUCUCCGGGGGUAGAGCACUGUUUCGGCUAGGGGGCCAUAUGCAAUUCUGAAAGCGCUUUAAUCUUUUAAACGUGCGGCGGCCUCUUCGGAGGCCGUUUUUAUACACUUCAUCCUUUAAGCUGCCUCUUUGUUGGCUGCACUCAGAAACCCCGGACACAUCGUUAU
rnacentral:rRNA from 1 species